AAGCAGGCAGCAAGAAUAAGUGUUACCUCAGCAAACUUCACCACAAUUGUCUUUAGUUAACCGAGAAGUUUACUGUAGUGACAGUAACUGGGGGCCCUGUUUUCCUAUUUGUCUUGCAAGAAGGGACUGUGCAAAACAUUCCCCACCCUCAGACACAACCCAUUUUUUGAGCGUGAGUUGUACAUAUUUUGAAACUUUGUAUUACGAGUAACUCUCUAGAGCUCUGUCACGUUCCAGCCCAACUGACCAAUUCCAGCAAAUUUCUAAUAUGCCACCCUAUGUCCCCUGUCCUAUCCUUUACUUGCUCUUCUCUCCUCCUUCUGCCCAGACUGCUGGGAGGGUUCCAGUAGCUAACAGGAGAGAAAUGAGUAGCUCACCAAGGCGGGGGCUUGCUCUGAACCCUGCCCUUCCUCCCCCUCCUUCCUCCCUCCUGCUUCUCAUCUUGGGGUGUAAGGAAGGGGCAUCCAAUCGCCAAGUCUUCUGCUUGAUUUCCUCUAGGGCAGAACAAACCAAUCCUCCUCAUGCUCAAAUCCCGUCCUCUAGCACAUGAUAGGCAACUUCAUCACCCUCCACCUCCCACUGUUUCCCUCUGCUACCAUGUGCUGCUGCCCACAGUAGGCGAACAGUCACCAUCAGGGUGACUGUUGCUGUAUCCUGAUGUUGCUGUGUCUUCCUAACUGUGAAAAAGUCAAACUCAGAAGUUCUGCAGAAGGGUAUCUCCUAUUAGAAAGUGAGAUGGUGAGCAGGCAGCGAGGCUGGAAAAGACUGAGAGAUGUUCCUGUUGCUUUGCUACAACCAGAAUCUGCCAGAUGUUUUUACGCAGUUCACAGCACCACCUACACUGAUGCUCCUCUCCUGCCCCUCUGUAAUUCUGCGCUAGGAAAAAAAAGAGGCACUAAACUGCUGCUGCGAUCUUAAUAGUGCAAUGAUAAAAGCUUACUGGCACGUAUGCAAUAAGCCUCCUUUUCUCUGUCUGCUCAACAUAAAAUAGCCUGCUUCAGCUUACUAAAUAUUAUCAAGAAAUUUCGGACUGAGAUCACCACUCCCUUAGUAAGAAAUACACUAUCUCCACCCAAAUGGAAAGAAAGGGUAAUUGUUCCUUGGGGAGGGUGACUCAGGGUUUGGUGGCAAUACAAUGUGCCUUUUGAUCAGCACAUUAAACAAACAAAGUCUACAACGGAGAAUGCCAAUAGCUCUAACUGCGUGAGAGGACGAUUAACAUAGUGUUGCCAAAUACUUGCACAACAUUCCCAACUGACAGAUGUCCAAAUGCUGUGUAAGAUCAAAGAUUAAAAAAAUACUCAAAAUCAUUAGUAAAUCUUUUUAAUGUACCUGUAUUAUUAAUCCAAUUUUACUGCAUGUUAGAUAGAGGUAUGCAAAAUCAAGGAAUUGUCCCUGCUGUGGAGAGCAAUUUAAUAACACAACCACAAAAGGACAUCACAUAAACACUCAGUCCACUGAUGUACGACUUAAUGAUAGAAAUAUUAAUCUGUGAUGUAUCUCCAUUGACUUUUGUCAUGUUGAGCAAAUGGAAUUGAAUGGAAGUUCAAUGAAUUAACAUGUUACUGGACAGAAAUACUUUAUGAGGCUGUCAGCACAAAUAGAUAUCUAUCUUGUUAGGAAGAAACAUCAUUUAAACCUGAAGUAAUGCAAGUAAGUAUAUUACUAUAAAGAAGCUCAAACCAGCAGUUAGAGAGGAAAUAGUUUUCCCAGUCUAUAAACAGAGGCUCUCAAAAUUUUGAAGUCUCAAAUUUGUACAAAAUGAAGAUAAUGUAAAAAUGCAUCCCUUCAAAAUUCUUUUGACAAAGGCACCAUAGUUCACGACAGAUAUCACAGAUUUCAGUGAUCAAGAAGGAUGAUAAGACCUAUGCAGAAGGUGAAGGAAGUUUGAAGGAAUGUAUUUAGUCCAGAUAAAAGACAUCAGGUUGUCUUAAAAUAGAUUUCAAACGUAUGUAAAACUGUUUCAAAGAUGACGGUGAUCAAUCACUCUCCAUGUCCACUGCAGGCAGAACAUAAAAGUGAAGAGAUUAGCAUGCAUCUGCAGAAAUUGAAAAAGCUUUCUAAGUUCAGGAAUAAGCUACAUAGCACAUUUUAGAGACUCUGAUAUUGGAGAUUUUUAAAGCAACUGAGAUAUAUACCAGGGAACAUCUAAUUCCAGUUAUUCUUUCAUGGACUGGACAAGCUGUAGGUGGUAUCUUGAUAUAGAUUUAGACUUCUAUGAUUCCAAGACACUCUCCUGAAGCUUCAGUUUUGAACAUUUGCCAUUUUCAGACAUUAAAAAAAAAUUAAAUAAGGCUGUAUAAAGUGGUCUCUUACUGUUUUGGCAGAAGAGAAGCAUCAAAACUAUUACUGUGAGGUUUUCCCAUAAUCAGUUUAGGUUGCUUCUGGUUGCUGCCCCCAGGCUGAGGGCUACAGAGGCCUCCAGCAAGUGCAGCUGGAUGGCUGCUCAACACCAGCAGCUACUGCAGCUGCUCUUCUUCCUGGACUCCACUUGUAGCUCUUGGUUAGUAUACAACUAAUGUUUAGUCUAGCCGUCACAGUCAGAAGAAACAACAUAUCAGAAAUAUGCUCCAAGUAAAUGACAUAAAACCAAGUAGGUUUUAAAACCCACCAAGAACAUUGCUGCAAGAAGUUCUUUCUUAAACACCGAAACUGAGGGAGAGUCUCUAAGUGACUUGAAAACCUGAAGGAUUGGGGGUGUGUGUGUGAUAAAGGUGUUGAAUUUACUGAAGACAAGGAACCUGUCUAGCACUAUGAAAAGGCUGAAGAAAUCUAACAGAAGGGAACCAUGGCCAUUUUGUCUUUAAUCACCUUUUUUGUUAAAUUAGCUCAAAUCAGACAAAAAAAACCCCAGAUAUCUCUUCUCAAAACAUCUGGGGAGCUGAUGUCAGUUUCCGCUUAUCAAUAAACUCCCAGAACUGUACAUCUUCAUAGUCAUCUCACACACACAUCUUCAUGUAAACAUGUGUUUGUGGAGGAACCUCAGCAAUCCAGCUGAUACUUCUGAAGACAUGGGAUUAUAUGGUACCUUAACCUGAUUCAAGAAGCUCGCUGCUGGGGAAAUCUUGAAAUAGAAAAUGUCGAAUGGCAUGAUUAAAUCUUUAAAUAAAAAUCAGAGAUGGAGGAAUUAUUCACGUCUGCUGCUCUCAGCUUCUGGGGCAUCCAAGCGACCACGUUCUAUAGAUGGUAAUGCCCAUGUCCAUGCUGAGCUGCAUGCACUCAUUGUUCCAGCCCUAUGAAUGUUGAGAACACUGGCCAUAAAGCUAGUGGGAAUGGGGAGGGGGAGCAACACCAGCUGGUGAACAUCAUGGUCCAGGAAGGGGGUUAACUAUUAUUAGGGAAUUGACUCAGGAGAAGCAGUGCUUGCUCAGGAGAUUGCUUGGGUAAGGGAGUUUGAGUCAAAUCCUGUGCAAGGAAGGGUGCAUCAUAUACCCGCACCCAUAUUGCUCUUACUUUUACAAAUGCUACUGCUGGCAUCUCUACAAAGCCUGAGAAAGAUUUAGGUCACUUCAGGCCCAAUAGCUCACAGAACUAUUGUAGCACAUUGUAGCACAGCUGCAAGGAAUGAGAGCAGGGCCAAAGAGCGCAAUGGUUCCCAUCAGUGAAUGAUGCUGCAUGCAAAAAUGACCUAAGAUUUGUCUUUCAGGUCUACGUACAGUGGCAGGGUCUGAGCUGUUUCACUUCUGUCUUUUUGCUGUCUUACACUCCAUGUAUCAAUGAGACAGACCACAGAGAAGUUGGAAAAUAAGCAAAGAAUUAUUCUCCGCUGAGUCACAGUAUUGAAACAACAGGGACGUAAGUGAAAACCCAAGCAUGCAAUAAUGUGGUUAUACAAUAUGUUCAUGAUGAACGCAGCUGUUAAAUAACAUUCAUUAAUUGUGUUUAAAUAGCUAUGAUUAUCCACCAUAAUGUGGUAGUCUUUAAGCUGUUUUACUUCAGGUUCAAGCAGCUAUAUGCUCAGCAAAAGAUGCAGUCUAAGAAAAGAGCAACAAAAUUGUUUUGUGCUACCUAUACCCUUGGGUCCCUGUGGACCUGCUCACCCACUCACUCUUGUGUAAAUUACAGGAGCUCUGGGUGGGUUGUUUUAAUUUCCAUGUGGCCCAUCAACAUUAAAUGUAGGUAACACAAAUGCUGCACAUGGUUUGGUCCUGCCCCCGUACCCGGGAUGAGAGAGCAAUGGCUGAGGGGGGUGGGCAGUAGCUGCUCUGGUCCUGGGCUGAGAAAGUUCCCUGUGUUUAUUGGAGCUUUUGCGUCACCAGAGCUGGAUUUGGGCAGAACGAAAAGGAUUCUGAAUUGGUACUUUAUCUAACCACUUAAGCAAUUCCAAAUCAAGUAAUAUAAAAAAGAGGCCAUUUUAAUUAUGCACUUUCACGUUUGGCAAGCGCCUGAAUGGAUAAACUCCCCAAAAAUGUCCUCACUGCAGUUUCAAAACAGUAAAGGUUAAUAGUGUAACACAAAUGUUUCUCAUUGUUUCAAAUGUCUCCUCCUGACUUUCGGAAAAGAUUUGAAAUGUAUUAAUUUUUAUUUCCCAAGGAGAUUUAGAUAAGAUCCAUUCCCUUUCUAUGAAGGCUUCAUUGUUUUCAAUGUACACUACGUGCAGUCUGCAACCAUUUUAUUCUCCACAGAGCUUUUAACGUUCUUGGUCCAGGUACUGUGUUUUCUUUUUCAUUCAUUUUGUCCCUUCUGUUAUAGCAUAUCAUGUUACCAUAAUUUUCUGAUUCCCCUUUAACAGGAAUAUAAAGCAAUUCUUCCUACCAACCAAGUAGUUGCAACUUUCUGCAUCCUACUGAGAAGGAGUAACCAUGAUGUCUGUCCUUUCAGAAGAAGGAAUAUGUGUCAUUCACUGGCAUCUAACAGUAGAAUAUUUAUGUGAAGCCUGUGGUUAGUGUUUUCUCCUUGAAGUGUUUUCUCCUCAAAUCAUAAGUAGUUAAUAUUUAAGCAAACUGCAUGAAAUCUUUCUUUGUUGCACAUAAGAACAACAUUACCAAGGAAGAAGGGGAAAAAAACCAAGCCAUUGAGACAGACUGAGGAGUUUUAUGACUAAACCCAUCUCCUUGUGUUGACUUUGGCCUCAGCUCUUGACUGGACCAGACACAAAGAACAUUUCUUCCAUUUGGUGUUUACCUGCCCUUUUCAUACAUGUUUCAGUGCAAUUUGCAGGACCUGAAAAAGAGCAUGUAAAGCCCCCAGUCCGGCAAGUUUCCUUCUCAUCUCACCAUAGACAGAGUUUGCAGCUGUUCAUGUUUGCAGCGAGUUUUAUCUGAUUUUUUUACCUUCCAGAACAAGUUCUGUCACAGUAAUGCAAGUUAUUUCUUCAUAUGCACACUUUUGCUAAGAGCAGUGUCCCUGAGGAUGAGAUGGCUUAGCAUCUAGCAGCAGGUCCACCCCUGACAAUUCAAUUGCCUGAGUAUUAUUUCCUGAUAUUGCAUACAUCCCCACAUUACUCCAGGGGCUCUUCCCUCUGUUGAAACACUGACAGCUUCAUUUCAGAAAACAAACAAACAAAACCACACCAAAACCUGUUCUUCUUUGCUUUGCAGAAGAACAAGGUAUGAAAUACAGCACAUUUUGAAAACUGGAUACUAACAUUGCCAGUCCCAUAUGCAGCAAGCUUGCAAGUGCUACUGUGUGCAGUCUCUUCUACUCAUGGACCAACUCUAGCUUUAAUGAGGUUCAAGUUAAAACUUUUACCAUAAAGACUUUGAACAGAGGAAGUUAGCAUUAGUUUAUAUUUCCUAAGUAGUUUCAUGCUGUAAACUACUUGACACUAGCUCCUCUAUCAUCCAAGUUCCCAGUAAAUGGAUCUGAGAUUCAAGAGGAAGAAGAGGAAUAAGAGAGCUUAAUGGUUUUCAUAGCUGCCUCUUAAGUGAGUCACAGGGUGACAAGAAAUGACAUUUGGUGGCAGUCUUGUGGUUGGGACACUGUGUGUCUCAGAUUGCUCAAAUAGUUUUCGUCCACUACUGACUAAGUUAUCACUGAACUUGCUUAUUCCUUCAGAAGCCAGUUUUUGGAUCAUUUGUCAGUGCUGAGUCAAGAAGUGGAAUAAUCUCUAAAGCUAUGACAGCAUCAGUGCACCAUUGUACGAUAACAAAUUCAUGUCACUUUUACACCGCAAAACCUCAAAUUGUUUUGCCGAGCAAUUAUGGGCUAUGAAUUUGACCUUUAUCCUUUCUCAACUUGGUGCUUUGCCUCUUUUCCAAAGGGAAUUUUUGAGCGUGUAGGUGGUUUAUGGGGAAUCUUUUUUCCCAAUGCAGCAGCAGUAUUAGGAAUGUUGGUAAUAAGCCAGGUCGGCUUACAGCUUUGGAAAUGGCACUAUCCAACCAUGGGACAGUAAACAAUAAUUUUUAAAAUGUCAAAACUAUGCUUUUUGUAAAUAUGUGGCUAUGGAAGAAGUAAGAGGAGGGAGGGGCAAAGAGAAAGCCUCUACUUCAGUCCCUGUGGACUGUUUCUUUUGUAUACUGUGGCACUGUGAAAAGUUGGGGAAAAGCUUAUACAUUCCUUUCUGUACUAUUGAGCCUACAAGUCUUCCAAUAACAUGUUUCAGUGCUCCCUGCUUUUACCUCCUGAGGAAGCUGCACAGUAGUAGAUAGCCCUGUGGUGCCUCUGAUUCUGCAGAGGCUGUGUCCAAGAUAAAUCUAUCCAACAUUUCUGAUCACAGAAUCACAGAAUGUUAGGGAUUGGAAGAGACCUCAAGAGAUCAUCUAGUCCAAUCCCCCUGCCGGAGCAGGAACAUUUAGGUCCACUCUACAUUUUCUUAAAAGUUGUUUUGAAGAGGAUUAAAGAAUAUAUUUGUGCUGAAAUACAGCUUGGAUCAUAGGUUGCAUCUUUGUGGUAUGAACAGAGGAGCACUAAUUGAAAAAAAAAACAGUAGCUUUCAGUUUUUUCCUGGAUGAGUGGGUGUGGGAUUUUGGGGAAGGUUUUAGGGUAAGGCGCAAUCUGUUUUGUAAGUUGUGUGGGCUGGGUAGAGGAAGUGGGCAGUCCGAAAGCCGUAAGCAUCACUCAUGGAGAGAGUUUAAACACCCCCACCACACACAGGUUUUGUAUCAGAGGGCGGGGGCCAGAGGUGCUGCCAGAAGUAAAGCUAAUGAAAAGAAUAAUAGAUCAAAAAAAGUUCAUCAGUAGGUAUACCAGCAUCCUAAAUAUUUUUGUUGUAUUCCUCUGUGUGAAUUCAGAGCAUCAUCUUCCAGCCCAAACUUUUGUGGCAUCUUCUUUAAGUUUCAUCAAACCCAUACCCAGCUACCCAUGUGUUUCCUUCAACAGGAGGCCCUUCUCAGAAGUUAACUACUUAACACAUCCCAGUGACUGCAGCACAGGGAAAAACCCUCCACAUAAUCUCAGGAUUAGCUGUUUUGAAAGUGAUGAGACAUGAAGGUGGAACAGUGAAGGCUUUGCCAAAAGCCUCCUCCCCCUGCUUCACUGCCAUGAUUUUGCCCUUUUUGAAGGAACAACAAUGCACAAAAGAACCUGCAAUUAAAGGCUGUAAAGAGCUUUUACCUCUCAGGUUUUCUUUUCACCUGGUAAAGCUACAUCAUCUCAAGUGCAUAUGGCUUAUCAAAUCUCUGCCACGGCUAACACACAGAGAAGACUUCUAGCUGGCAGUCACAUUUAAUUCCAGCAGAUAAAGGAACUGAUGGUGAUAUCUGAAUUAUUCUAAAUAUGUGCCUUAAUCAAAUAUGUCUGAAGUUCUGGCAGAGGCAGAGAAGCCUUGUAUUUUUUCUGGAUUGUAGGACCAAGAAAAUAAGAGGAGCCAAUGAAGAAAACCUGAAUGGAGAUUAAAGAAAUCGCUUCACCUGUGUACAAUUAGCUCAAUUCUUUUUCCCCACUCCUCCAGUGUUUACUGAUAAAUCCAAAGAAAGACCAGGUAGGUUUUCCUAGAGCUGUUGAAGAUAUCUAGUACUAUCAGGCAUUGAUUAUAGUUAAAGAAAGCCACAUGUUGUUUUGUUUUCUGGUGCAACUGGAUAAUACAGACACAGUGUUGUGCAACCCAAAAGCCUUUGGGAUCCUGUAGAGGCAGAAGCUGUGCUGCAGCCGUGUGAGGGACAAAUGUCAGAAGUGAGAACCUGCAACUUACUUUGAAGAGGGCAGAGUUUUAAGCAUGGUACAUUAUGAAGAAAUGACUUGUCUGCUUACAAAAUCCUGAGCCAUUUAGCCAGGACACCUGAGAAACAUCGGAGACUGCGUAGUGUACAGAUAAUGGAAAAUCACCAGCAUGUUCCAGAGCAAUGCUGCAGCUCCAGAGCAAGUCCAGGGUUUGGUGCAGGGGGGGUUCGAAGGAUGCCAAUUAACCUUGGAUGAAAUUGUAACUGAAUGUGCUGUUGACUUUCUGCAACAGAAACCGAUUUUAUCUUGUGUAUAGAUAAAAGCGGAUGGUCAGAAAUGUUUCUCUUCUGGUGAAGUUUUUGCCUAGAGCUGUAAUUUACUGCAAAUCAGGGGAAUAACUUUUUUUUUUUAUUGUUGUUGGUUUUUUUUUUUUUUUUUUUUUUGUUCUCUGCUAAAGAUCACAAUGUAAAAAGAAAUAGAGGAUUUUAUAGUAGGGUGCAUUUUCAGGGCUGUAACCAUGGAGUUGUAUGCUCCAGUGCUGUCACGAUUAACCUCUUCACUGCUGUCAGAAAGCAUGUGUACUCUGGCAACAUAUUUCUCCUGACAAUAUUCCCCUUUUUAGGGAUUAUUGCUUUGGGUUUUUGUCUCAUGCAUGUGCUGAAAAACCAGCUGGAGCAUCCUGCAGGGAAAUGUGUUGUAUUAGGGGCUUUUUAAGGCCUUCUGUGGCCAUGGGAAUAUUUGUGUACUUCACUCCUUUGCAGCCCACCGUGGAAAGGAAAAGGGACACCAGGAGAGGCAUAAUAAAUAGUACUAACAGAAGUUUGGAAAGGGCAGUACACUUCAUACUCUGGGAUUUAUCCCAAUAUUUAGUAGCUGGUGAUUGGGUAGGGAGGAUGACAUUUUCUCACACUUGCCUACAGGUGGUUUCAUUAAAUUUUUGUUAAUUUACUUUUUAAUUCAUACAAUGAAGUACUGAAGGAGGAGGAUUUUCUUUUCGAACACUUUUCAAUGCCUUUGAUUCUCUCUGCUGGAUUCAGAGACACAGACAAUGCUUUUGUUGAUCCAGUUUAAUGUUGAGUUGUGUUUUUAAAUUCAGUGUUCUAAGAUGUGACCUGGAUACAGGCCUGUCAAAAUGUGAACAAAACUUGGCCUGUAGACAGCAAAAUCUGCUGCAUUUAUUUUCAGCUGACUGUAUUCUGAGGUACCAUGUAUGCACGGCUGUAUAUGUACCAGCAAGCAAAUGUGCCCUUUUCUGACUGUCUCUCAGUGAACAACUUUGCAUUCUUGCUUACCAAGCUUCCUUUGCUGGAAUUGCUGUGAAAGGGUCACUGAACUGAAAAAAAACACCCAGAACUACCCAGACUUUUAUUUGCUGAUUGUCAGCUGAUACAAUACAGUUCAUUCAAUCCCAGGCUAAUGAAGUCCUGAGGAAACAUUGCUAUGAACAAGUUCUGACCUAAGUGUUUUCUUAUUUCAUUUAAGCUUCUAUAAAAUCCUGUUCAAAGGACAUUCUAAUGGAAAUAAAGCAUUAAGACUUAAUCCCUAGUGGAAAUUACCCAAACAAAACAUUUAGUAGAAGCAGACAUUUCAAACUGCUUUCACUGACGGGCCAAGAUCAGAGGAACUUUUUAGGAUUUCAGUUUCAUCUCACUCUGGGAAUGACAUUUUCUGAUAUUUGAAACAAACUGCACUAUAAUAAAAAGACAAAACAAAGAAACACUCUGAAAAGAAGAGGAAAUGCUUUUCCCUCCCUAAUACUAUUUCAGGGUAAAUUCACCUGUGCCUGCCUUCCUUUCUUUCAUGUGGAGUGAGACACCUUCUUCCCAUCAUCGUAUUUUGCAGUACCUAAAGAGGCAGCAAUCAGUGGUGUGCUGGCAGUGGCACACAGGGUAGGAGAGAACUUCUUUUGUCCCUCUGUGAUGGUUUUGUAAAACACAGUUGGUAAAACCCAAUUAAAUGUAGCCCUGGAAUUACAGAAGCAUCCGGUUACUGAAAUGACUAUAAUGUCUCCUGACUAAAGACAGUUGUCUGCUUAUAAGCACAUUUACCUGUGGUGAUAUGUUCAGACAAACAGCUGAGUUUAUAUUUCCAUGUAAUAUUUAUGCAUUUUUCAAAGGCAAUGAGGCUUCUUUCUGUGUUUCUGGGCCUGGAAGAUCAUGGCUGCUUCUUCUGGGCUUGGGCAUUGCAGCCAGCACUUAAACUUGGUCUCAUUACUCAUGCCUCACUUUGGCUGAAGAAGGGUUACAGCUGAAGUUAAUUUGAAAGCUUAGACUUGGGUGACACUGCUGUACUUGUCCUUUCAGAAAAUAACAGCUUUCACUGCAAAACCUCAAGUUACAUUUAAGCCUGCAUUAUAUUCUCCAUUGCCCCUUCCCUAUACCUUUCUGAUUUAACUGCAAAUUUUAAACAGAUUUCAGCCGGAGCUGCCUUGGAUUAAAAGAGGAAGAUCUGGGAGUCUGCAGUUGAUGCAUGCAACUUGUUCUGGAAGGGCACUAAAAACCUUUCUUUUUCCCCCAUUUUUUCCUCUCUGAGUUUCUUGAACAGUGUUUUUUGUUGUUGUUGUUUUUUCUUUGUUUGUUUGUUGUCAUUGUUUUGUUUGUUUUGUGAUUUUGUUUUUCUUUUUAAUGCUGCUUUUAAAAAGUGGGUUUGUUUGUCCUGGAGCCCACAGAACAGCCUGAAGAUACAUUUAUUAUUUAAACUUGUACAUAGAAUUAGUUUCUACAAAAAAAUAAGCUUUUUUUUAUAUUGCCAGAGCUGAAUCCUAAUGUUGUAUGCCCAUCAGUCAUUCCGUUCCAAAAACUAACCGUGCUUUUCCUUUGAACUCGAUGUUCUUGGUGACUGUUUUUUCCUGGCCCUUGAAGCUAACCCUUGGAGUACAGCAUACCAUCAUCUUGCAAUGUAUCAUGCUGCAGAGAACUUGGGAUGGAGUUAAAUGUUAUGUUGGUCAGUGAGUAAAACAAGAUUUUCCCAACAAUUAUUUUUUUUUUCCUCUGGUAAUCACUAGUGACUUUAAAAAAAACCCAAAACAAAACAAAUUGUGUUUGGAAUCAAAAGACCAGCUCUCAGAGGAGUUAAUGUAAUGUCCAUGUUGCAGAAGGACAAGCGUUCUUUCCUAGUUUAGUCCUUGCUUAACUGCUUUCUUCAAAGCUGAGUAUUCUGGGAUGUAUUCUUUGGUAUUUGAAUGCUAGGAAAUGGAAAAUUAAAAAUAAUAAUGGAGGAAAUUCCCAUCUGGGAAAUCUGUUGUGUAUUCAAAGCACCUUUAGUUGCAAGCUUGCACUUUGUGGCCUUGACGCACAUUGUACCUAAAGAUCAAGUUUGGAUUUGCGUUUUCCCAGGCUUUUUAGCAAGGGGGUGGCGUGGCUGGAAGGGCAUUAAUUCAACUCUGCCUACCAGCCUUGCUCUCAAUAUUUAUGGUGCCUGGUCGGUGUUCAGAUUUUACCUCUUCAAGGGAAAAAGAACACAGAACUUGCCUUGACUCUAGAGCAGGCUGUCAAACUCAUUUUUACCAGCGGCCAUAACACCCUUGCUGUUGCCUUCAAAGGGGCAAGUGUAAUUUUUGGACUAUAUAAAGGUAAGAUUUAUUUGAAGCAUGAUGUUGUAAGAAAGAAGGAGCUCUUGGGGCACAGCUACUAGCUGGAAGGAGGCUUGGCAUCAUGAGCAAAGAAGGUGCAUCCUCAAAUGCUCAUUAGUGCUUUGCGUAUAUAUUUUGUAAAUAAACACAAACGUCCGAGAUUCCUAGAUGGGCAGUGCUAUAACCAAACUAACCUGUGUCACCAAGAGCCAGGUGUCUGAGUUCACCUGAAUGCAACCCUUUCAGGUAAUAUUUUACUUCUUUCCCCUGUGAUGCCAUGCAAUCCAGAAGUAGGCCAAAAUUCAGAUUUAAGAAUAAGCUAAAAUCUUAGCUCUGGCUCUUUUAAUUUUAAGUUCAUUUUCUUUAACAAUUCUUUGAUAUGUCUUUGACCUGCUGAAGGCCAAAAAUGCAUACUAUUCCCUGAGACCACUGUGAGCACAUGCGUGUCUUUGAAGCUAAUGAAACUGUGGUACAAGAAUCAGAUCACUUCAAUUUUAUGUAUUUGUAUACUUAAAUUUAAAAAAAAUACUAAAAAUAAAUUGUGCUAUUAAACUUGUUCUUACUUUUGUACUGUUAGUCACAGCUGCGAGCUUUCUGGUUGUACUCAGCAGCUACAAAGUGUGCGGGCAGCGCAGGGAGCAGGCCGGUUAUCAAUACAGUGAGUGCUUCACUGUUUCUUUGUCGGUCAUUCACUUGUGUUGCAUUUGGCAGUUUUAAACUUCUUUUCCGAAGAUGUCUCUAGAGUUUUGCUUUCGUAUUUCUGUAAAUUCCUAUGACUUUGAGUUUUGGUAUUCAGGUCUUCCCCAUUAUCAGGCACUUGUCUGAUCUGUGCCUUGAAUCCCUGUGGGUCUCAUUUAAGUUUAUAAGAUCUCUGAGAUCAGACAUUUUGGCUUUCACCUACCUCACAACUGUUGGAAAUGGACUUGAAAAUGUACUUUCUCCUCGAGCCUUUGAAGUCACGAUCUGUAUCCUUCAUUCAAAAUAACUAAUACAACUUCACUUAAAUGCUUCAUCUGAGGUAAAGUGGUGCCAAUCUAAAUUUGCCCAUUCCUGAAGUUAUCUUGCAGAGCUUUUCCUGGCCUUCUGGGAAGGAGCUGCUGCUGUUGUUUUCCAGUUUCACAGUUCCAGUGAUGCUGUUCCCUCCCUCGACCCGGAGCACCGCAGUCUGCCUGCCAAACCUCAGGCAGGGACACUGAACAUCAGUCCAGAGGCCAAUGCAGAAAGCUGCCUGGUUUGUUGUUGGCUUUGGGGUUUUGCUUCUGAACAAGGGUGUCUUUCUGUAGCUGGACUAAAUGUGUUCCUGUCAUAUUAAUAAAAAUGUGCCCUUGUUUCUCAGGCUUUGUCACCUUUUGAACACAUAUUAAACAUAAUGAACAUACUAAACGUAAUGAACUCCAAGGCCAGGCUGGAUGGGGUUCUGAGCAAUGUGAUCUAGUUGACCAUGUCCCUGCUCAUUGCAGUGGUUUUGGACUAGAUGACUCUUAAUGGUUCCUUUCAAUCCAAACCAUUCUAUGAUUCUGUGAACUCUGCUGGGGCUGACCCAGAAAAUGUAGUGAUCUAUUUAUGUGACUUACAAAAGUCCUACUUCUUCUACCUGAUUUAGAACUUUGGAUGUGUUCUCUACCAGUUCCAAGCUGUUGUAUCUGCUGACUGUCAAAGCAUUUAGCAAUCUCCUGAUAGUGAGGGGUUUGGGUUCUUUAUUUAUUUAUUUUUGAUCUCAAAGCAAGUGUACAUACAGAUAUUACUUAUCUGUAUGCAAAAAUUAUUCUUUGUUGGUUGUUUUGCAUACAAAACUAUAUGUUUUUUUCGCUUCUUAAUUUACAUGAACCAUGCAUCUAUUGACAUAGGAAUACUGAGAAAGUUAAUUCUUUAUUGCAGGGGAGUAUUGUACUUCUGCAAUACCUAAAUCUUGUGAAAUAAUCCAUUUGCCUAGUGUGCUAAUUCCCCCACCUGAUUUUAAAAAGUGGCACAGAAUACCACUUGUGUCUCACAAGCCCCGUGGCAGGGCCAGAGCAGCACAAAAGCCAUCCUCUGCAGUGGACUGCCUUGUUUGUACUUGCUGCUGUGUCUCUGAAACAAAUAAGAACACGGGAGAGAAAAAAAAAAAAGAGAAGAAUAUGAUGGUUAAUCACGUUUUUGGAUGCCCAUGAGCAACAAAUGUGAAGUAGCAGUAAAAAGAUUAAUGCACUUUUAGGGUACACUAGGGGAGUUGUUUUUGGUAGAGAUAUCCAAGACAUUGUAUGUGGCAAUGAUGAAGUUUCACGUACAGCUGAGAUCACCUGUCUUUAACAAAGCUUAAUGUGAGUUCAAACAGGUGCGGAUGAGGAUUAGUAGGUCAGUUAGAAGAACGGAAUGGAUUACACUUUUCCCUGUUAUUCCUUACAAAGAGGUAGAAAUGCCUUGAUUUGUUUAGCCUGGGAGGCAAAUGCUUAUAAGGGGAUAAGACAUAUAUUUGUAAAUGGGUUGGAGGGUUCUGUUUCAAGGAGGGGAAAAAAAGGUAUAUAAGAGGAUAAUAUUACUCCCAGAUCAAAUGUUUAUUAUCUGGUCAUGAAUACAUUUAGGCUGGAAAGUGGAAGGUUCCUGAGUGCUCAGAGUGAAGCUCCAAACAGGACUGGAGGGAGUGAGGAGUUUAAAUUGUUGGGAGAUUGAGUGUGAUAAGCCAAAUGGAAGGGAUUGUGUAACUAAUUUGGAGAAUUCCUGAAGAUAAGAACCCAUAUGUAUCUGCUAGGUUCAAAAGGAAACUGGAUUGCUGCUUGCACUGUAUUUAUUUUUGGUAAUCCUGUGCUAAGACUUCUGCCUGUUUCUUGUAGAGAUCAGCAGAGAUUUGUCCCCCUGAACAAUAUAACAAACUCUGUUUAACAGAUUUCUUGCAUGUUGCAGGGAUCUAGCACAUCAGUGGUGCCUUCAGUCUCUCUUCUGCUGUCUGCUGUCUACAGCUGUUUUGUCUGAGCUGUUUCUUAGGUCCUUGUUUGGUUAUCAAUUUUGGGCAACUAUUGCAUGGAAGUGGGUACCUGGACAUGUGUUGCGUGCUUUCCUGGGACUGCAGGAAGCCUCGCUGCAGGACCUGCAUCCCAGUUCUCCUCUCUUAUUAAGGGAGAGAUGCUGAUUUACUUUUCCCUCAAAAGGUGCUCGUAAUCCAGUAGUGCUCCUCCCACCCUCUGUUUAUACAGACAGUUUGUGUCUUUAAAGGCUCUUUAUUUUUUGUUUUGAACAUUUCAUGACACACAUUGCUGUUUACUCAAGCAAAGGGCUGAGUACAACUGAGUCCUUGUCAUGAUGUACUGAUUGAAUACAAAUUUAUUUUCCCCCAGUUAUUCCUUCUUUCUGGUGCAUUAACAAGAUAAAAAAAAAAAAUCAAGGGAGAGAAACAUUCUCUGGAUUCCUUAAAUAUUCCUUGUGUCUCAGUGUUAUGGCACAGCUCUGUAUGUAACCGUAAUGACAGCAGGAGGAUCCCCCUCCUCAGGAUGCACAGGCCAGGAGCAGAGUUAUUUACUUUUUUUCUCUGAUGGCUCUUGCACAGGUAAAAUAUCUAUGAAACUUCAGAGAGUAGCAGUUAUACCUUUAUCUACGAGUUUACUUUGCUCAAUAAUGCAUAGUUAAUUCCUUUUUUUCUUCUGUAAGGGCUAGUGUUUAAAAGCACUUGUGUACCCAGCUAUUGUGUAUGCUUGAAGCUGAGCAACAAAAACACGCUGCCAGCUACAAGGUCUUGCUGCUGUACUUUUCCUUGCAACCUUUAAUAUAUUCAAACCACUGUUAUUGUGCAUAGAAUUCAGCAAGGCUAUAAUCACCAUUGAAGACGGUGGCUGGUUUAUGUUUAGUUUGUGUUUUGCUAUUUUAGGACAGACAAGAAAAAUAUUUAUGUGGUAGUUUUUUUUUUUUUUAGGAUAGGAAUAAUAUUUUCUGUUUACAUUUGUGGAGUGAGCACACCCUGGUCCAUGCAGUCACUGGGACCCCAGUACCACAGUACACAAAGUGUUCUUACUUUUCUCAUCCACCAUCACACUGAUCAGUGGAUUAGCAGGUUUCAUCUGAUUGAGUGAAAUGUCUAAAUAGUUAGUAACAGUUGCAGUAGAAAGAAAAUAUUUUUCUUCUGAGCAACAAAAGUCUAGUUCCCCCAGGUCUUGCAUCCUACGUCUCAACUUUCUGCCAGUAAAAAUAAAUAAAGAAUUUUUUAAAAACCCCUCCGGAUUUAAUAGUUGCACCUCUUCUAAGCCCUCCACCAUUAUCUUUCUUCCCCUUUCAUUGUUCCCUGCCUUUCUGUUCCCUGCACACAUACUCUCAUCUUCCUCUGAACUACUGUAGGGGCAAAAGGCAGCUUGUGUGAUGUCUUGUUCUGAGCUGUACGUGUCCUCCCUGACCUGCCUCAGUAGGGAGCUGCCGAUCUCCCAUUGCAGCCUUCCCCUCAACAGGAGCAUUUACUGGUAUCUUCUAUCCCCAUGCAGAUCUACAGCCCUGUAGGAACUUAGGACCCCCUUAAUCCAUGUGUCAAAUGUGACUAAAACUGCCUGUCAUGUUCAGAAGCCAUUAGGAAAUGAAAUGCUGGACAGAUAUACAGCACUAUUGUAAAAAGCCCAUUUCAUCAGUGAGCACCCUAAAAAGACUGGAUUUCCAGUUGUAAUAUAUACAGACAGAUAAGUAUUCCUACCCAGAUAUAUAAAGUUAACUCUGAAGAUGUACUUUUAUGUGCAUUCUGCAAAUAGGUAAUUGAAAAGUGAGGAAGAAAGAAGAGGGAUGUUUGUAUCAUCUCAUGGCAGGUACAAAUGUCACAGCACACCUGGGUGCUGCUGACCUUGUUUCUUACACAAGUGCUAAUGAAAUAUUUUGUGGUUUAAAACCAAAACAAAACAAAAUGCAAACACUUGGAAACCCAGUAUCCAAAGGGUUUCAGAACUUUAUUGUAUGAGCCAAAUAUUUCCAGCUGUUGUUGUCUUCCACUCAUUUCCCACAGCAUCUUGGCCUGGGUCUGCUAGUGAUCUUUCUUUGUUGAUGGCAUGAGAUGUUAGCUGAGCCAAUGUUUAUGCUGCUCAGAAGGAUAUUCCUCAAGCCUACUUCAUUAGUGAUUUUUAAAGCUUGUUAACCUGUUUAUCUUCAAAGGAUGGAAACAUUUAAUGCUAAAUAAUUUGGACAGAAUUUAUAUAGAUUUUGAUAAUGAGUACAAUUGGAUAGCAGUCUCCAGUCUGUGUGAUAAACUAGGGGCCAUCAGGCAUACUUCAGUUGCUUCUCACUGAGAGGAGUGAGAUUAGAUGGCAUACACGGGUGUCUUAAGCAGCAUUACAUCUGCUAUUUCCAAUCCAUUGAGUGUUUCCAGUGCACAGCUUCAUCAAAACAAAACAAUUGCUAAGAUAGUGGAAAACUUGGGGAUAGUUUACUAUGGGUUCUGUGAUAAUCUGUGGAUUAUCUUGUGGCAUAGCGUAAUCUUGUGAGUGGUUUAAUUUAAUUAAAUCUAGAGCAGAGGGCAUAUCUUGGAUGUUGUGGGAUCAACUGCUUUCUAUCAUGAGACUUUAUAAAGUUGCAUAUGCAAAGCAGUUGCAAAGCUUAACUGUUUUAAUUUUCUUACAUAUUAGCCUACAGUGCUUUCUUUUAGGGUUGAUGUCAAGUUACUCAAAACCACAGUCUGGUUGAUUGACUGCUUUUUGUUGUUGUUUUGGUUUCCAAGCAUUCAUUAGAAUGGCAGGAAGUUUUUGCUUUAAUUUUAUUUUACACCACUCACAGUAGUGCUGCUUGUAUUUUACAUUUCUUUUUGUUUUGGUGAUGAAAACAUCCUACUUGGCUGUUAAUUGCUGUAAACAUUUACUUAGCACUUUGCAGUCGCUAAUGAAUUAAUCUCUCUAAUGCUGGGUAAGUGCUAUGUGUAUUUUAGAGCUCAGGAGUGUGGAUGAGACAUACCUAAGGCCAUAAAGUGUGUCGGUAGUGUAGAUGAGGAUUAAUUUGAGAAUCUUUCUGUGACUCACUGUAGUUAAUGUGCUAGUAGUGUCAGUUUGUGGUUUUUAUGUAUGAGCCAGGAUUUGCAAUAUUAUAGAGAUUACAUCUGUCUUGUUCUAAAGCAGCUCUUUCAGGUUGCCUUCAUUUUCCUUUGAGAAGUCAGUAUUUUCGAAAGCUUGCUUCCACCUAACUGAAAUGUUAACUUUACUUGUAAGUCUGAUUCACAGCUAAAGCAAAACAUUACCCAUUGCAAUAUCAGCCCUAGAAGUUAGACUACAAAAGAUGAAAAUCCCUUCUACUUCUGACACUGACUGGGCAGAGGGAGACAACCAGUUCUCUUUUCCACUUGCCUGUUUGCAGGGACCUCCAUAACCCGCUUGUGUUGCUGAACCCCAGAGGUGCUCCCCGGUCUCGCAUGGCAGAGCUAUGGGUAGCACAGCCUGGAGGAAUCCCACAUCCCAUCCUGUGUGGGACAACACAGCCUCAGAGGGAACAGACCCAGGGCUGAGCAGCCCCUUGGAGCCAGCACAGACGGACUCUGUGCCCAAAAGGCCUCUUUGCACCCAAAUUUACAAACAUAGCACCCUCUUUUUCCUGGGAAGAUGAGGGGGGAAAAAAACCCAACCAAACAAAACCAGACUAAAAACAAAACAAAAAAACCCAACUCCUUUUAUUCUAAAAAUAAGAGAAACUUCAAACAGAAAAGGCGUCACUUGCUUUAUUACCAGCAGCUCAGAGCUGGUAGAACAGAACAUAAGGCUCCAUUGUAGCGCUGGGUUAUUAGAGUUGUAACAGAAGGAGCAUCUCUACUGGGAUAUAAGGUGCUUUUAUUUCACACUAGCUGUUUCUGUUAGUCAACAGGCCUGAGGAUACUGCUGGAUCUAUAUUCACAGCCUGAACUUUACCACUUAAGUACCUGUGCCUAUGGUUUGUUUGUUUUUUAACAAAUACACUCAAAAUUGCUUCAGUCUCUUUUUCAGAAUUCUAGGUAGAACUAAAAAUUUGCUGAAAGAGAUACAUGGGAUGGGGAGGGGAAAAUAAUUUUCCAAUCAUGUAUUACUUUUUCUUCCAUUUUUUCCCUCACGUCUUUUCCCAGAUGUUGCUAAAUGAAAUUUAGGGCUCAAAAAUCUGUAGGUCGGGUUUUGUAGAUGAAGGUUAUGUUUAAAGGCUUUUUAUUUGAGUGAAGUAACAAUGCCAACUAGUGGUCAGAUCCUUCAUAGAGAAGAGACUUGGUAUUCUGGCAAAAAAAACCCUUGUUUUAAUAAAAAUAUAUGUAAAUCAUAACGGCUUGGAAGGAAAGGAAAGGAUCGUAUUUCUUGGUUUUCCUUUAAUAAGGUAUUUUGAUUAAUUAUAUAACAAGUAUACCAGUAGUUUAAUGACGUUGUCAUUAAACCAUGCAUUAAUACACUAUUAUGCUUUUUUUUUUCAAAAUUAGUUUAUCCCACUUAUAAACUGAUCAACUGUGCUAAUGGUUCCAAAACCAAAGAAAGGCUUACACUGUUUCACAAUAGUAUCUGGGUUCUCCUUUCCUAACCUAUAGAUGUGCAGUGGAGCUUGAAUAACCCAUCUGGCUUUCGCUUGAAAGUGCAUGGUUAUUCUAAUAGCAAGGGAUAUUCUCUAACAUCACUGAAAUAUUUUUUUCUUUUCCCUCCCUCACUCAGUGUUAAAUGUAUAUCACCAUAUCAAACUUCAUGAGGUGCUGUGCCACCAGUUGCUUUUUUUUUUCCUUAUGUUGCUUAAGGACUUGUCUUUUAUCAAGAUAUUUAGUUUUUGAGAUGUAUGUGUAAAUAUUUGUGCCUAUAAUCUGGAACCACUAUCUAAAUAUAAAUAUCCCUUUUAUGCAUUAAAGUGGUAAGACUAUAAAGCAGCUAUUUAGGUUGCAUUUUAGGCUUUGGGGUAAGGAUUUUUGCUGUCAAAACUGUACCCUUCUUAUAGUGUUCAUCUAGCACCCUGUUGUUUCAGAAAACUCGUGCUAAUUAACAAGGCAAUUUCACUAGAUGAUAUGGGGAAAGGCACAGAUGAGGGAGACAGCUCUCAGAAUUCUAAAAACUGGGUAAAAUUAGGGUAUCUUUUUACUUUGUGUCAGCUAGAAAUUUUCAGAGUCUGCAGUCUGCAGGUCCUACGUCUUCAGUAUCUACAGUUCUCUUGAUGUACAGGUUUUCUAGAAGCAGUCUGAAAUUGGGGUACCCUGUUCUUUUAGUGUUAAACUAUGGGAGACAUUCCCUGGAUUUUCUCCUAGAAAUUGGCUUGACUACCUACCUGGCUGACUUUUGAAAAGCAAGCUUUCUACAUGUUAUCAUGUACUUACAAUUAUUAAUUUUGAAUUCCUAACAAUUCUGAGCGUAUCUAUGCUAUUUAUCACGUGUUAUGGUUUCUGCAAAUAACAAUGACCUUUUGCGUUCUGUGAAGUCAGCUGGUUUGUGUGUGCCUCUUAUUCCUUAUAAACAGUUGUCUGUAUUUUAUUUUAUCCAAAGGCUAGCCCAAUUCACUUCUCUGCUGUGUACUGAGCUUUGGAUCAGGUCCUUGAUCUCACAUCUUUAGCUGUGUUGCUGAGAUUAGGAGCUCUGAUUCACUCUGAUCUGCAUAAAAAGGUGGACCACACUUAAAGGAAAUAUUUUUGAGGACUAGUUUUGCUUCGCACCAAAGCUCCAAAUCUUUCUUCCCCUUUUGGCAGGCUUUGAUAAAUGCUGUCCACUUCCACAGUGGAAUAACUUGGACACACAGGUUCCCUCUCCCUCCUGUGGCACCA